rnacentral:rRNA from 1 species
UACGGAGGGUGCGAGCGUUGUCCGGAAUCACUGGGCGUAAAGGGCGCGUAGGCGGCCUGAUAAGUAGGGGGUGAAAUCCUGCGGCUUAACCGCAGGGCUGCCUUCUAAACUGUCAGGCUCGAGCACAGUAGAGGCAGGUGGAAUUCCCGGUGUAGCGGUGGAAUGCGUAGAGAUCGGGAAGAACAUCAGUGGCGAAGGCGGCCUGCUGGGCUGUUGCUGACGCUGAGGCGCGACAGCGUAGGGAGCAAACAGG